rnacentral:rRNA from 1 species
GACGAACGCUGGCGGCGUGCCUAAUACAUGCAAGUCGAACGCUGAAGAGAGGGGCUUGCUCUUCUUGGAUGAGUUGCGAACGGGUGAGUAACGCGUAGGUAACCUGCCUUGUAGCGGGGGAUAACUAUUGGAAACGAUAGCUAAUACCGCAUAACAAUGGAUGACACAUGUCAUUUAUUUGAAAGGGGCAAUUGCUCCACUACAAGAUGGACCUGCGUUGUAUUAGCUAGUAGGUGAGGUAAUGGCUCACCUAGGCGACGAUACAUAGCCGACCUGAGAGGGUGAUCGGCCACACUGGGACUGAGACACGGCCCAGACUCCUACGGGAGGCAGCAGUAGGGAAUCUUCGGCAAUGGGGGCAACCCUGACCGAGCAACGCCGCGUGAGCGAAGAAGGUUUUCGGAUCGUAAAGCUCUGUUGUAAGUCAAGAACGGGGGUGAGAGUGGAAAGUUCACACUGUGACGGUAGCUUACCAGAAAGAGACGGCUAACUACGUG